GGGGGGGACCCUCAAAUAGCUCGUGAUCUUGUGAGUCUUGUACAUGCUCAUUCCCCUAUUGUUUUUCUUUGUGAAACUAGACAAUCCAAGAAUAAGAUGAGUAGGUACUGUGCUCGAUUAGGUUUGAAAGGUGUUGAUGCCUCUAAUAGUGUUGGUCUUAGUGGAGGUCUUGCCUUGUAUUGGCAUGAGUCUUUGAGUUUGGAUGUAAAAACAAUAAAUAAAAGAUAUAUCAAUGCGUAUGUGACGAAUCUAUCGGGUGAGCCACCUUGGUGUCUCACUUGCGUAUAUGGCAAACCGUGCAUGGAGGACCGUCACCUCAUGUGGUCCACACUCCGUGAUCUUCACCAACAAGCUAAUAUACCAUGGGUGGUGAUCGACGACUUCAACGAAGCCAUAUGGGGCUUUGAACACUUCUCCGCAACACUAGGGUGA
rnacentral:rRNA from 1 species